CUACAGGGGUAUCUAAUCCUGUUUGCUCCCCACGCUUUCGUGCCUCAGUGUCAGUGCUGGUCCAGGUAGCCGCCUUCGCCACAGAUGUUCCUCCCGAUAUCUACGCAUUUCACUGCUACACCGGGAAUUCCGCUACCCUCUACCGCACUCCAGUCUGCCAGUAUCCAAUGCAGUUCCCAGGUUGAGCCCAGGGCUUUCACAUCAGACUUAACAAACCACCUACGCACGCUUUACGCCCAGUAAUUCCGAGUAACGCUUGCACCCUUCGUAUUACCGCGGCUGCUGGCAC
rnacentral:rRNA from 1 species